rnacentral:rRNA from 1 species
GACGAACGCUGGCGGCGUGCUUAACACAUGCAAGUCGAACGGAAAGGCCCUGCUUUUGUGGGGUGCUCGAGUGGCGAACGGGUGAGUAACACGUGAGUAACCUGCCCUUGACUUUGGGAUAACUUCAGGAAACUGGGGCUAAUACCGGAUAGGAGCUCCUGCUGCAUGGUGGGGGUUGGAAAGUUUCGGCGGUUGGGGAUGGACUCGCGGCUUAUCAGCUUGUUGGUGGGGUAGUGGCUUACCAAGGCUUUGACGGGUAGCCGGCCUGAGAGGGUGACCGGCAACAGUGGGACUGAGAUACGGCCCAGACGCCUACGGGAGGCAGCAGUGGGGAAUAUUGCACAAUGGGCGGAAGCCUGAUGCAGCAACGCCGCGUGCGGGAUGACGGCCUUCGGGUUGUAAACCGCUUUCGCCUGUGACGAAGCGUGAGUGACGGUAAUGGGUAAAGAAGCACCGGCUAACUACGUG